UACGUAGGGGGCAAGCGUUGUCCGGAAUCAUUGGGCGUAAAGAGCGCGUAGGCGGUCCGGUAAGUCCGCUGUGAAAGUCAAGGGCUCAACCCUUGAAUGCCGGUGGAUACUGUCGGGCUAGAGUCCGGAAGAGGCGAGUGGAAUUCCUGGUGUAGCGGUGAAAUGCGCAGAUAUCAGGAGGAACACCAAUGGCGAAGGCAGCUCGCUGGGACGGUACUGACGCUGAGGCGCGAAAGCGUGGGUAGCGAACAGG
rnacentral:rRNA from 1 species